UGAACGCUGGCGGCGUGCCUAAUACAUGCAAGUCGAGCGAACAGACGAGGAGCUUGCUCCUCUGACGUUAGCGGCGGACGGGUGAGUAACACGUGGAUAACCUACCUAUAAGACUGGGAUAACUUCGGGAAACCGGAGCUAAUACCGGAUAAUAUAUUGAACCGCAUGGUUCAAUAGUGAAAGACGGUUUUGCUGUCACUUAUAGAUGAAUCCGCGCCGCAUUAGCUAGUUGGUAAGGUAACGGCUUACCAAGGCAACGAUGCGUAGCCGACCUGAGAGGGUGAUCGGCCACACUGGAACUGAGACACGGUCCAGACUCCUACGGGAGGCAGCAGUAGGGAAUCUUCCGCAAUGGGCGAAAGCCUGACGGAGCAACGCCGCGUGAGUGAUGAAGGUCUUCGGAUCGUAAAACUCUGUUAUUAGGGAAGAACAAAUGUGUAAGUAACUAUGCACGUCUUGACGGUACCUAAUCAGAAAGCCACGGCUAACUACGUG
rnacentral:rRNA from 1 species